GAGUUUGAUCGUGGCUCAGGAUGAACGCUGGCGGCGUGCCUAACACAUGCAAGUCGAGCGGUAUAUAUUGGAUUGAAACUUCGGUUGAAUGAAGAUAUAGAGAGCGGCGGACGGGUGAGUAACGCGUAGGCAACCUGCCCCAUACAGAGGGAUAGCCUCGGGAAACCGGGAUUAAAACCUCAUAACGCGAGAGUAUCACAUGGUGCUUUCGCCAAAGAUUUAUCGGUAUGGGAUGGGCCUGCGUCUGAUUAGCUAGUUGGUGGGUAACGGCUACCAAGGCAACGAUCAGUAGCCGACCUGAGAGGGUAAUCGGCCACAUUGGAACUGAGACACGGUCCAAACUCCUACGGGAGGCAGCAGUGGGGAAUAUUGCACAAUGGGCGAAAGCCUGAUGCAGCAACGCCGCGUGAGCGAUGAAGGCCUUUGGGUCGUAAAGCUCUGUCCUUGGGGAAGAAAAAAUAGACGGUACCCUUGGAGGAAGCCCGGCUAACUACGUGCCAGCAGCCGCCGCGGU
rnacentral:rRNA from 1 species